rnacentral:pre_miRNA from 1 species
UAUAUGUAUCAGAGAGUCAUGCAUGGGAAAAUAGAGAAUGAUAAUGAGCCAAAGAUGACUUGCCGAUUUUACCAAAGAAUUUAAAACUGAUAAUGGUGACUGGCAAGUCGACUUUGGCUCUGUUUCCUUCUCUUCUUUUCGAUGUAAGACUCUAGAUAUCUAU